UAUUAUGUUGGUGCAAAAGUAAUUGCGGUUUUUGCCAUUAAAAGUAAUUUUUGCCGUUACUUUUAAUGGCAAAAGCCACAAUUACUUUUGUACCAACCUAAUA
rnacentral:miRNA from 10 species